GAUGAACGCUGGCGGCGUGCCUAAUACAUGCAAGUCGAGCGAACGGACGAGAAGCUUGCUUCUCUGAUGUUAGCGGCGGACGGGUGAGUAACACGUGGAUAACCUACCUAUAAGACUGGGAUAACUUCGGGAAACCGGAGCUAAUACCGGAUAAUAUUUUGAACCGCAUGGUUCAAAAGUGAAAGACGGUCUUGCUGUCACUUAUAGAUGGAUCCGCGCUGCAUUAGCUAGUUGGUAAGGUAACGGCUUACCAAGGCAACGAUGCAUAGCCGACCUGAGAGGUGGUCCGGCCACACGGAAACGGGGACCCGUUCCAGACCCCUACGGAGGGCAGCAUUGGGGAAUCUUCGGCAAUGGGCGAAAGCCGGACGGAGCAAGGCCGGUGGGGUGAUGAAGGUCUUCGGAUCGUAAAACUCUUUAUUUGGGGAAGAACAAAGUGGAAAGUAACGGGGCCCAUCUGAACGGACCCAAAUCAGAAAGCCACGCCAAACUACUU
rnacentral:rRNA from 1 species